UAUUCUGCCCUACGGGGAAGGAUGAGAAGCUUCGACUAAGGUUCGACUCGAGCGUAGCGAGAGAACGUUGCCGAAGGC
rnacentral:sRNA from 1 species